UACGUAGGGUGCAAGCGUUAAUCGGAAUUACUGGGCGUAAAGCGCGCGUAGGCGGCUCUUCAAGUCAGGCGUGAAAGCCCCGAGCUUAACUCGGGAACUGCGCUUGAUACUGUCGAGCUAGAGUGUGGAAGGGGCGAUUGGAAUUCCGUGUGUAGCGGUGAAAUGCGUAGAUAUACGGAGGAACACCAGAGGCGAAGGCGGAUCGCUGGGCCAACACUGACGCUGGUGUGCGAAAGCUAGGGGAGCAAACGGG
rnacentral:rRNA from 1 species